rnacentral:lncRNA from 1 species
AUGCAGUGUCAUUUUCCUGUAACAAGGCUUGUGUUCUUGCUCUGUGUGUUUCAGAAAUGCGAGUUGAACAUCGACAACCUGAGCAAACCAGAGCUCCUGACCCUUUUGAGUAUCAUGGAGGGAGAACUUGAGGCCAGAGACCUAGUCAUUGAAGCUCUUAGGUCAUGAUGGGUUAGAGUCAUUGAGACAGACUUCAGGGUAUCCAGAACAAGCAGGCCAUUGUCGAUGUGUAGCCCUUCUGGGGCUGUUUUGUCCUUCCCACUGUCUGAGGAGAUAUGGCGCUGUUCUGAAAUUAGGCUGAGACACAAUCCUUCUAGCAUACAAAUUGCUGUCUGUAGUCCUUGGAGAGCAGAAAGGUAAGUGUCCUUGCUUACCCUUAAAAACCGGCUGCCUUUAAAUGCAUCCCCUUUAAUGCAUUGCCGCUACGGCGUCUGUGGCUGUUGCGUUGCAUCUUACACUGUUAUCUGAGGGCCCCUAAUAACUUUGUCUGAGAUUUAAAACUACAACCUCAGGGUUACGAGCCCAAAUUUUUAACUGCUCUGCCACACCACCUUUCUUUUUCCUUCCUUGAAACUUAACAGCCAAACCAAAAUGAGGCAGGAGCUGAAUACUCAGUCGUUUAAAAUGUCCGUGUGGAUGAGGCCAGGCUGUUUCUCACUGUGAGCUGAAUGGCAGUUUAGUCACUCCAUGCGCCUGUCACUGGUCUUCUGCCAGCCUCCUUCCCCACCUCAACCGCUCCUGUCCUUAUAUUUCACCGAGCACUCUGUUUAAUAAACUUUGUCUGAGAUUUAAAACUACAACCUCAGGGUUACGAGCCCAAAUUUUUAACUGCUCUGCCACACCACCUUUCUUUUUCCUUCCUUGAAACUUAACAGCCAAACCAAAAUGAGGCAGGAGCUGAAUACUCAGUCGUUUAAAAUGUCCGUGUGGAUGAGGCCAGGCUGUUUCUCACUGUGAGCUG